UACGUAGGGUCCGAGCGUUGUCCGGAAUUACUGGGCGUAAAGCGUGCGCAGGCGGCUUCUUAGGCAUGACGUGAAAGCCCCGGGCUCAACCCGGGAGGGUCGUCGUGAACCGGGGGCUUGAGGCCGGUAGAGGUGGGGUGGAACUCCUGGUGGAGUGGUGAAAUGCGUAGAGAUCAGGAAGAACACCCGUGGCGAAAGGCGG
rnacentral:rRNA from 1 species